GAGUUGCCUACAUAUCCUUGGCUAUAAAGGAAUCAUGCCACGUGUAGUUCAGAGGUGAGUGAGGUGAUGGAGUAUACCGAGGUGGAGAGCCGAUUGAGGUGCCGUCGAGGUUCCGAUUUGCAGUCCCGUUAUUACAUCAAAAUCAAAAAUGAAAAAGAUUAUCUAAGCCUAUCAGCUACGAGUUACAAGAUUCCUAUCUAUGAGUCUUCUGAAGCUUGAUCUUGAGUCUUGGUUGGUUCUUCAUGCGGACUCUGAUAUGAAUCUUGAUGCUUGUUAGCUGUAGGUGUUGGUUCUAUGUUUUUCAGCUUUUUCAGAUCAAGACGGGACAUGCAAAGCUUGUGACUUCAAUCACGUCUUGAGUAGUCCACAUCUUUCUCCGCUUCUGCACUCUGGAUUCACUUAUUUUUUUCUUCUUCUUCUUUUUUUUGGAUUGAGACUACUUAUGUUGAUCAUCUCGAAUUGUUGACUCGCAUUCUUGCCACGAGCUUCUACUACUUCUAACUUGAAUUGAAUUCUGAAAUAACUUCCCUUGUUCUCCAGGUGGGCGCCUAAUUGUUAAAACUUGAACUGACUUCCGUUGAAACUUGAACUGCUUUCCCUUGAAACUCGAACUGUUUUCCUUUGAAGCUUGAAUUGUCUUCCUUAGAAACUGUGUUUCCUUGAAACUUGAACUGUCUUUUUCUUGUUCUCCAGAUGGGCGCCUGCUGCUGAACUUGACCUGUCUUCCUUCGAAACUUGAGCCGUUUUCCCUUGUUCUCCAACUGGGCGCCUGAUUGCAGAAACUUUCUGUGUUCCCUUGUUUUCCAUGUGGGUGCCUGCAAUCAAAACCAACAAAACAAACGAAAUUUUCUACCCCAGUUUGCACUAGGAAGAUUUGUGAGUUGUUAGCAAUAUUGUAAACCACUUAUACUAUUGAUGCAAUGAUAAGAGUAAACUAAAGACUAGACUAGGAUGUGUGUCUCCUAAAAGUGAUUGAGCUUGCGGAAAACUGUAAACUAUGUUUGACUAAAGUAAAGACUAACCCUAUUCUCCAGGCGGGACCCCUGAUUUCAAGAAAACUAAACAUUGAUUACUUAAGAAAAC
rnacentral:lncRNA from 1 species